AGUCAUCAACCUGCCCCGUUUUGCGACGGGGUGCGGUUGGAGCUGGGGCGUGCUGCCGCGAGGCUGCUCCCCUCAAAUGCUUCGGUUCGACUCGGUCGUUCUCGAAAGGGCGUUGUACCAUCCUCGCUCUCCGAGUUGACUGCCGUCGCUCUUCGACCUGCCCUCUGGGUGGCGGUCAAACAAACACUUUGAA
rnacentral:misc_RNA from 1 species